GACGAACGCUGGCGGCGUGCUUAACACAUGCAAGUCGAACGAGAAUCACUGGAAGGAGUUUUCGGACAACGGAAGGUGAGGACAGUGGCGGACGGGUGAGUAACGCGUGAGGAACCUGCCUUUCAGAGGGGGACAACAGUUGGAAACGACUGCUAAUACCGCAUGACACAUAGAGAUCGCAUGGUUUUUAUGUCAAAGAUUUAUCGCUGAAAGAUGGCCUCGCGUCUGAUUAGCUAGUUGGUGAGGUAACGGCCCACCAAGGCGACGAUCAGUAGCCGGACUGAGAGGUUGACCGGCCACAUUGGGACUGAGAUACGGCCCAGACUCCUACGGGAGGCAGCAGUGGGGAAUAUUGGGCAAUGGGCGCAAGCCUGACCCAGCAACGCCGCGUGAAGGAAGAAGGCUUUCGGGUUGUAAACUUCUUUUGUCGGGGACGAGUAGAAGACGGUACCUGGCGAAUAAGCCACGGCUAACUACGUGCCAGCAGCCGCGGUAAUACGUAGGUGGCAAGCGUUGUCCGGAUUUACUGGGUGUAAAGGGCGUGUAGCCGGGAAGGCAAGUCAGAUGUGAAAUCCACGGGCUUAACUCGUGAACUGCAUUUGAAACUACUUUUCUUGAGUAUCGGAGAGGCAAUCGGAAUUCCUAGUGUAGCGGUGAAAUGCGUAGAUAUUAGGAGGAACACCAGUGGCGAAGGCGGAUUGCUGGACGACAACUGACGGUGAGGCGCGAAAGCGUGGGGAGCAAACAGGAUUAGAUA
rnacentral:rRNA from 1 species